GUUCCUAUCCUCUGCAGGUGGUUCUCACUUCCACCCACAUGAAUUAAACCUAAAUUAAGUCUAUUUUUUUUUUUUUAAUUUAUUUUGCAACUGAACCAGCUUGAGAGCUCUGAGCAUCCAUCUCCUUGCUGGGAGUAAAUAGCACGGUGACCACAGAUUAAGGAGCUGCCUGAGGGACAGCUUUAGCUGUGAGUGGGGAGUAAAUGUGUUUUCCAGCCUCUCUGCUGAAUAUUAAUGCCCCAUCCCUGCAGCUGGCUGGUUCAGCACGGGAUCCUCCUGCAGGAGCCCUGGGGCUUGCUAUCAGCUGGAAUUUUGAUCAAGGACAACUUUCCUGAGGUGGAAUUUGUGCUAGCAGCCAGCUUCUCGCAUUUUCCCAGGAUUUUUUUUUUUCUGGGAAAACCUGUGCCUGCUCUGUGGAUAGAGAGCUGGAAUUUUGAUCAAGGCCAACUUUCCUGAGCUGGAAUUAACGGGCUGAGCACGAGGUGGAGGAGAGGAGCAGGAGCAGCAUCCCUGCUCCAAGCAGCUCCCUCAGGGAUGGAUUAUUUUGGUCCUCAGCUGCUCAAUACCUUCAUUAAUGCCUGAGCUGAUGAUCCAUGUCCUCUGCAGAUGAAGGAAAGAUUUGUGAUGUUGCAAAUAAUGCAGUUAUUGUUAUAGCAUCAGGCAAAGUGCCUGCUGAGGUGGCCGCCGUCCAACAAAUCACAGCUGAAAGCAUCCAGUGAUUCUGGAAUUGAGAUUCCAGGCUCUGGAAAAUCAGGAUUUUGCCAGAGGUUGGCCUUGCUGUCCUGCUGGGCAUUGUUUUAUUGCUUUAUUUAACACUCUGGAGCUCUGCUCAGCAAAUAAACGCUGUUUAAUGCUCA